ACGAACGCUGGCGGCGUGCUUCACACAUGCCAGUCGAACGGAAAGGCCCUGCUUUUGUGGGGUGCUCGAGUGGCGAACGGGUGAGUAACACGUGAGUAACCUGCCCUUGACUUUGGGAUAACUUCAGGAAACUGGGGCUACUACCGGAUAGGAGCUCCUGCUGCAUGGUGGGGGUUGGAAAGUUUCGGCGGUUGGGGAUGGACUCGCGGCUUAUCAGCUUGUUGGUGGGGUAGUGGCUUACCAAGGCUUUGACGGGUAGCCGGCCUGAGAGGGUGACCGGCCACAUUGGGACUGAGAUACGGCCCAGACUCCUACGGGAGGCAGAAGUGGGGAAUAUGGCAAAAGGGGCGGAAGCCUGAUGCAGCAACGCCGCGUGCGGGAUGACGGCCUUCGGGUUGUAAACCGCUUUCGCCUGUGACGAAGCGUGAGUGACGGUAAUGGGUAAAGAAGCACCGGCUAACUACGUG
rnacentral:rRNA from 1 species